rnacentral:lncRNA from 1 species
AUAAACUCAGAGAAGCUACAAAGCUUUGUCUUUGAGACUCUUUGAUUUUAGAUAGAAAAUUAAACACACGAAACGUAUUGCAAACCGAGUAACAAGCAAUGAAUCAUGCAUACAAUAUGGUAUGCACAAAAUACUGCAGACGUUAGAACUUUUAAUAAUCAAACACUUUGCAGUAAAAAAAAGUCUUGCAAAACAAGUGACAAUGAAUUCCUCAUACAAUAAGGUAUGCACAAAAUACUGCAAAGAAAUGCAUGAUGUUUACUAAAUAAUCAAACCAAAUAUUGCUUCGAUAAGUGAAUAAAUUAAACCAAUAGCCACGUAUUAAGCAGAGUUAUGUAUAGGGAACAGUUAGCUCCAGAGAAAUAAAGAUAUAACGGUGAACAAGAGCCAGACAAAGUGACCAGUUGGCUAUAGCCAGCCAGGCCUACAUUAAAGAUAAACAAAUUAAAGUCACUGUAUUUCUGUCUUUUCCCGUUUUUCCUCCUCUUCUUUCGUUCUCUUCCUCCCCUGGGCGCCAGAGUGUUUAGGUUUCUUUGACAUUUUGAUGUGCAAAUAGAUAGCUUUCUCCUAUCCGGUCAGAAUGAUGUAUCAAUUGGGUAACUAAGGUAACUUGUCCCUCCCAACCUCCCGAUUCAGGUAGAGUCUAUGGGGGGGGGACGGGGGGACGGGGCGGGGGACACGGAAACUAGGGCGCUCUUUUAUUUUACAUGUUAUGUUGUCUAAUAUUUAUUUCGACAUAACUACUGGUAGUAACUAAUAUAAACAUUGAAGUUAAAAUUAGAUGAAUACAGUAUGCAAUUUUUUUUUACAUUUAUUGUAAUUUAAUGUUAUGAGCAAAGAUAACAUAUAUUAGAUGAGGAUACAAUCAGGGAAAGCUGCUGUGGGUAAGUUUGGAGAGUUGUAAAGAGAGAGCAGAAGAGAGAAGAAGAGAGCUGCCCUCUCUGCUCCUCCCCAUCUCUGAGUAGCAUCUCACGCACCUGUGAUUGACAGUUGCGACUUCUUGGUACCUUCAUCCAGACGCAGAAGGGAUGGGUUACAAAUGGUCCCUUUACGUUGGGUGUUGCACAAUGAAACAGUUGCACAAUGAAGCAGUAACGGCAGAUCAGUGGCAAAAGCUCCCAAAGCUUAUUAUUGUCUGUCUGGUAUGACCAUCCAAUUAUCCAGAAUACAUUUGGCCAAUAAGCGAAUACCCUGUGUAAAGAACCCAAUAAUGCAGGACUCUUCUUAGAUGAUUACCUAUUUACACUGUUACAUGCACCCCCAUUAACUCUGAUUCCUUGGGUGAAACAACCAAUGCAAGUAAAUGACACUGUUAUUCCGUGGCUCACACACGGAUAUCGGCGUGUUUCCGUGAUGUGUCCACGGAUUUCGAGUUAAGCGUCCGACCGUAGUCAUUUCACGGAUUCCUGUGAGACCAUGUUGCAGGACCACUCAAAACUCGUUCAAGAAAAUCGUCAUUACAUUAAAAGUGUUGCAGAGGUGUUAUUGUUAACCGCCAC